UGGGGAAUAUUGCACAAUGGGCGCAAGCCUGAUGCAGCCAUGCCGCGUGUGUGAAGAAGGCCUUCGGGUUGUAAAGCACUUUCAGCGAGGAGGAAGGUGGUGAGCUUAAUACGUUCAUCAAUUGACGUUACUCGCAGAAGAAGCACCGGCUAACUCCGUG
rnacentral:rRNA from 1 species